GUGUCAGCAGCCGCGGUAAUACGUAGGGUGCAAGCGUUAAUCGGAAUUACUGGGCGUAAAGCGUGCGCAGGCGGUGAUGUAAGACAGAGGUGAAAUCCCCGGGCUCAACCUGGGAAUGGCAUUUGUGACUGCACGGCUAGAGUGUGUCAGAGGGGGGUAGAAUUCCACGUGUAGCAGUGAAAUGCGUAGAUAUGUGGAGGAAUACCGAUGGCGAAGGCAGCCCCCUGGGAUAACACUGACGCUCAUGCACGAAAGCGUGGGGAGCAAACAGGAUUAGAUACCCUGGUAGUCCACGCCCUAAACGAUGUCAACUAGUUGUCGGGUCUUAAUUGACUUGGUAACGCAGCUAACGCGUGAAGUUGACCGCCUGGGGAGUACGGCCGCAAGGUUGAAACUCAAAUAAAUUGGCGG
rnacentral:rRNA from 1 species